CACGAAUGUAGUGCCAGUAGUUCACCCUUUGCCACGAAUGUAGUGCAUGAAUGAAAGAGCAACAAUGAACGAAAUGAUUCAUCAAGAUUUCCUCAUGACUUUCAUCUUGUCUAUUGAAGUCGUAGAAUUCCAAAUCGGAGAUGGAUGACAAAAGCUUACUCUGCUGGGUGGAAUCCCGACUCAAAUGUUGGCACGCCUGUAACGUUAAUGACCUGCAGCUGAGUACUGUGUGAUCCAAAGUCAGCAUUAUGGAUACACCGGGUGACAGCAGGGCAACGACCUUGACACACUCCUCUGUGUCGAUUGCAGAGAUUGGCAACGUCCGUCCGUCCGUCCACAUUGAAUGCACUGUAUGACGCGUUUAUGCCUUCCAAAUGGCAGGUUCCUCUCCAAGGUACGUCGAAACCAAAUCAUGUUCCUACUCUAAAUGUGGACUUCAUAAAGCUAGUUUCUGAUCAUCCUGAUGGACAGGGAUCAAUCACUUCAUGCAUGGGCUAUUCAUUUCCAAAAUGGUGUCUUGACAUUUGCUAUGGAAUUUUGUCACAUGGUUGUGCCGGUGCCAUUUUGUCUUGUAGCUCCCGACACAUAUCGGAAGGAUACCGCAUCUUUGACUUCUGAUUGUGAGGCACUCGACACGAUUGCUUUGGACUACAGUUGAUUUGGAAAGGUGCUGAAGCGGAGGUGUUGAAGUGGCCAUUUUGUCUACUGUUGAAUGCAUUUUGUAAUCAAUAAAAAUGAAUAAAUCUGACGUGUGCUGAUUUAAACUUGUAAUGAAAUAUAGUUGAAUAUUUUUCAUAUCACAAACACAGAAUUGCUCGAAAUCCAGAGGAGGAAAGUAGUGAUUUAUAAUCGAUGAAUCAUUAGGGCUCUCCAUGCUCACAAAAUUGGCACAAAUGUCAAAUCGACUAGUUUUGAGGCUUAUAAAUGCCAGAACGGUUCUUUGGCAAUUGAGAAGUGAUAGCAAGUAAACCAAUGCACUUUUUUGUUCCACUUAAAGUACUCUAGAAUGAAACGUGUACCUAUUUCAAGUAUGCAGUCGGAUGGGUUGACUAGUUUAUUUUGAAGGAGAACCGGAACUCCGCCCGCCGGCCCCGCCCGCCCUCUUUUGUUCUCGUUUAUGAUUAACGUUCUCUUGACUGGAAAUCAUGGUCCACCUGCAAUAGGCCGUAUCCAAACCAAAUGAGAUUUGAUUCCAAAUGAUAGUUUUGCAAGCAAAUUGGUGACUUGCCUGGCUCAAGAUUUGGGCAAUUCAAGCGAAGUGCCACUGUACGAGCAUAGCAGGAACGUGGAUGAAGAUACACGGAGUGAAGCAAGGCUCGAAACUCUGGACAAGUUGGACAAGCUUGCCGCCGCCGCCGUCACCGUCCAAAAACGUUGGCUGCAUGACGCCAAAUGAGCGCAUCUUCUAUUUACUUCCGCAUUUGACCAACCUGCACAGCAAUUGGGCUUCCAACAUAUGAACACGAUCGAUCGUGAGCAGUCCUACAUGGUUUUGGAGCCACUUAAGGGUGUACAUCAUCUGCACUGUUUUGUCCAACUUGUCCGUUUGAGCAAGUGGACAAACCAUUUGAGUCAAAAGGAGCUGAGAAGUUUGUCCGUUUGCUGCAAAAAGUUCCUCGAUCAACCAUGACAGCUGUGGUCGGAAGAGCAUGGGGAUGGCUGCGUUCCUGGAGUAGGAGUGCAGCGUCAGACAAAACUGGGUCGGAUCAAGAUGAGCUCAACAAGCGCUCCGGCUCGAAAGAGCACAAUUGUCCAGGGGACGAUGAGUACUGGGAAGCUCAGGAGAAACCUAUGGAACUUGAAGAUGUGCGUGCAGGAAAACAAGAGAUGGAGCCAACAGUUGAACUUGUUCCAAGAUGGUGGAAUACAUUUCUUCCAAAGUCUUUUCUUCCGUGGGGAAGGAAAACACCGCCGAGCGGA